rnacentral:rRNA from 1 species
CCUACGGGUGGCAGCAGUGAGGAAUAUUGGUCAAUGGACGAGAGUCUGAACCAGCCAAGUAGCGUGAAGGAUGACUGCCCUAUGGGUUGUAAACUUCUUUUAUAAAGGAAUAAAACGAGGCACGUGUGCCUUUUUGCAUGUACUUUAUGAAUAAGGAUCGGCUAACUCCGUCCAAGAAGCCGCGGAAAUACGGAGGAGCCGAGCGUUAUCCGGAUUUAUUGGGUUUAAAGGUAGCGUAGAUGGGUUGUUAAGUCAGUUGUGAAUGUGGGCGGCUCAAGCGUAAAAUUGCAAUUGAUACUGGCAGUCUUGAGUACAGUUGAGGUAAGCGGAAUGCGUGGUGUAGCGGUGAAAUGCUUAGAUAUCACGAAGAACCCCGAUUGCGAAGGCAGCUUACUAAACUGUGACUGACAUUGAUGCUCGAAAGUGUGGGUAUCAAACAGGAUUAGAUACCCCUGUAGUC